rnacentral:rRNA from 1 species
CAACUCGCCUACACGAAGCUGGAAUCGCUAGUAAUCGCGGAUCAGCACGCCGCGGUGAAUACGUUCCCGGGCCUUGUACACACCGCCCGUCACACCAUGAGAGUUGGCAAUACCCAACGUACGUGAUCUAACCCGCAAGGGAGGAAGCGUCCUAAGGUAGGGUCAGCGAUUGGGGUGAAGUCGUAACAAGGUAGC